AUGGCAUCCGCGCCGAGCACCACCGCGUCCACGCUCGCGCCCCCUCCGCCCCUCCGCUCGCCCCUCUCCUUCUCCUCCUCCCGCCGGCUCCCUUUCGCCGUCGCGCUCCCUCGGGCAGCGGGGCCCCUCCUCUGCCGCGCGCCCGCCCUGGCGCGCGCGCGCGUCCGGUGCCGCGGGGCGGUGAAGCUGGUCGGGGAGGGCGAGUUCGAGGCGGAGGUCAUGCAGUCGGACCUGCCCGUGCUCGUCGACUUCGUCGCCGACUGGUGCGGGCCCUGCCGCCUCGUCGCCCCCGUCGUCGACUGGGCCUCCGAGGAAUAUGAGGGGAGAUUAAAGAUCGUCAAGAUCGACCAUGAUGCAAAUCCUCAAAUUAUCGAGAAGUACAAGGUUUACGGUCUCCCGGCAUUGAUCCUCUUCAAGAACGGGCAAGAGGUGCCAGGGAGCCGAAGAGAAGGCGCGAUAAACAAGGCCAAGUUCAAGGACUACAUCGAGCCUCUCCUGGAGACCUCAAAUGUCGCUUGA
rnacentral:rRNA from 1 species